UCACGGACUGCAUUCCCAUGUACUGGGUUUAGCUGGACCGUAUUGGACUGGAGGUGACAGGAUAUUUUGUACCUGCUUCGGACUGGUUCUGUCAUUAACCUACUGAGCUGGUGCUUCUGUCCCAGGCAUCUCCAUCGCAUCGCUCCUAGGCAUCUGAAAGUGUACCGUUGCGCACAGAUCAUGCUGGUAACGAGUUAUUCAAAGGGUCUACCAAUCAUGGCAAAAACAGAAAUCCAGCUCCUCAGCCCAGGCAGUGCCAACAACCCAGCUGAUCCAGGAGCUGCAGCGAGGGGUAGUGAUGACACUCCGGGCACCCCGACUGCCCUCUUCAACCAUUCCCAUGGAAUUCAUCCUGUCCAGCCUCAGUCAGAUAAUCCAGCCCUCCCCCUCCUACUUCCAGAGACUAAUUUGCAGAUUCUAAUGGGUAUGUGCUAAGGAGAUGAUGAGUGAACACGCUGCCAGUUUGGUUGCAG